rnacentral:lncRNA from 1 species
GCAUUCAUUGGAAUGUGGCUAAAAUAAAAUCAUGAUCCAAUAGCUCGUCACAUAUCCUUCUUCUUAUUCUUUUUCAACAUCUUGUCAAUCUUCUACUAUUUUGAAUCCUUGCUGGAAAAAAUCUAUGGAUCCAAAUUAUGGAUGGUGGCUCUUGCUGGAAUGUCUCUAGGAGAUUUUCUAUUAUUAAAAGCCACCAGCAUAGAUGAAAUACUGUGCCUAUCUCUAUUAAUGAUCUUCCUGACUGAGGUGGUCCUUCUAAACUCGAAUUCUCCUCCAUCGGUCGUAUAGUCAGAUCUCAAUUCAUAGCACGGCGGUAAAUCAUUCUUUAUACCUAACUAUCUCCUUCAGUCGGUACU